GGUGAACGCUGGCGGCGUGCCUAAUACAUGCAAGUCGAGCGAACAGACGAGGAGCUUGCGCUCCUGACGUUAGCGGCGGACGGGUGAGUAACACGUGGAUAACCAACUUAUAAGUCUUGGAUAACUACGUGAAACAGGUGCCAAUAAUGGCUCAUAUAAUGUACCGCAUGGUUCAAUAGUGAAUGAUGGUUUUGCUGAUACUUUUAGCCGGAUCCGCGUCGCAUUAGCUAGUUGGUAAGGUAACGGCCUACCAAGGCAACGAUGCGUAGCUGACCUGAGAGGAUGAUCAGCCACACUGGAACUGAGACACGGUCCAGACUCCUACGGGAGGCAGCAGUGGGGAAUCUUCGGCAAUGGGCGAAAGCCUGACGGAGCAACGCCGCGUGAGUGAAGAAGGUCUUCGGGUCGUAAAGCUCUUUUGUUGGGGAAGAACAACUGUAUAAAAAUCUAGGCACGUCUUGACGGUACCUAAUCAGAAAGCCACGGCUAACUUCGUG
rnacentral:rRNA from 1 species